GCAGAUAACCAAUGCUAACUUCUUUCAUCCUCACCUGCUAAACUCACAGCUUCAUGUGUUUUGUGAUCAAUUUACAGUCAGAUAGCUAUACCCAGGACUGUUAAAUAUCUUUGGUAUUGCUCCUCAUCUGGGGAGACAGGGUAAAAGGGGAAAGAGGGGAACUGGGGAAAAAGGGACCAGGGCUGGAGAGUAACAGACGCACGCACGCACACACAUACACACUUUAGAACUUGGAACUUGGUUGGUAAAAUUGAGGCGAGCCAAUUACCAAACUUGGAUUUUAUGUAACACCAUCAUGGGUAACUUCAGUGGCCACGAACUUAACACCCUUAAUCUACGUCCCACACCCUGGAAUUUAUCACUGAAACAUUGUGACUCCUCUGGGAGCAUGUCUUUCCACGUCUUUUUCUUUGCUUUUAUAAAUAUAUCUGUUUCCAUAGAAAUGCUUGUAUGUAGAGGGGGCGCGGUAUCGUGCUGGAUUUGUUAUUGGCACUUUUUUGCUUGACCUACCUUGGAUGGCUCUCUAAUUGUUACAGCUUUUACCUUUUAACUAUUACUCAGUAUUCUUACUAAGGUAAGACUAUACUGAUUUUGUUUAUAUUUCUCUAGUAAUAGGCCAGGUGUGGUGGCUCAUGCCUAUAAUCCCAGCACUUUGGGAAGCCAAGGCAGUUUGAUCACCUGAGGUAAAAAGUUUGAGACCAGCCUGGCC
rnacentral:lncRNA from 10 species